CCUACGGGAGACAGCAGUGAGGAAUAUUGGUCAAUGGACGAGAGUCUGAACCAGCCAAGUAGCGUGAAGGAUGACUGCUCUAUGGGUUGUAAACUUCUUUUAUAUGGGAAUAAAAUGUUCCACGUGUGGGAUUUUGUAUGUACCAUAUGAAUAAGGAUCGGCUAACUCCGUGCCAGCAGCCGCGGUAAUAAGGAGGAUCCGAGCGUUAUCCGGAUUUAUUGGGUUUAAUGGGAGCGUAGGUGGAUUGUUAAGCAAGUUGUGAAGGUUUGCGGCUCAACCGUAAAAUUGCAUUUGAAACUGGCAGUCUAGAGUACAGUAGAGGUGAGCGGAAUUCGUGGUGUAGCGGUGAAAUGCUUAGAUAUAACGAAGAACUCCGAUUGCGAAGGCAGCUCACUGGACUGCAACUGACACUGAGGCUCGAAAGUGUGGGUAGCAAACAGGAUUAGAUACCCGAGUAGUC
rnacentral:rRNA from 1 species